GUAGGUGGCAAGCGUUGUCCGGAAUUAUUGGGCGUAAAGCGCGCGCAGGCGGUUCUUUAAGUCUGAUGUGAAAGCCCACGGCUCAACCGUGGAGGGUCAUUGGAAACUGGAGAACUUGAGUACAGAAGAGGAAAGCGGAAUUCCACGUGUAGCGGUGAAAUGCGUAGAGAUGUGGAGGAACACCAGUGGCGAAGGCGGCUUUCUGGUCUGUAACUGACGCUGAGGCGCGAAAGCGUGGGGAGCGAAACAGGAUUAGAUACCCUGGUAGUCCACGCCGUAAACGAUGAGUGCUAAGUGUUAGGGGGGUUUCCGCCCCCCUUAGUGCUGCAGCUAACGCAUUAAGCACUCCGCCUGGGAGUACGGCCGCAAGGCUG
rnacentral:rRNA from 1 species